AUAGGUAUUAUUUUUGUAUAGAAAGACAGUUUAGCGUGGGGCGGCAGCCUACCUAAAAAGUACCGGAGGUGAUUAUAUAAUUUGUUUUAUACUAUUGUAAGAAAAAGAAGAAUGAUACAAAACAAGUUUGAUUAUAUUACUAACCAGUAAUAUAAGGAAGUAAUUCUGUCAUAUUGAACCGAUUUUUUUAUAUUGCUAAAAAAAUCGAUCAACGAAUAAAAGGUACGCUAGGGGAUAACAGGCUAAUGAUUUUUGAGAGCUCCUAUUGAAGAAAUCGUUUGGCACCUCGAUGUCGGCUCAUCAUAUCCUGGUGGAGCAUACGCUGCCAAGGGUUUGACUGUUCGUCAAAUAAAAUGGUACGUGAGCUGGGUUCAAAACGUUGUGAGACAGUUUUGGUCCCUAUCUACUGUACGUAAUAAAAAAGAAAAUUACACUUAUCUCAGUACGAGAGGACCGGAG
rnacentral:rRNA from 1 species